GAUGAACGCUGGCGGCGUGCCUAAUACAUGCAAGUCGAGCGAAUGGAUUGAGAGCUUGCUCUUAUGAAGUUAGCGGCGGACGGGUGAGUAACACGUGGGUAACCUGCCCAUAAGACUGGGAUAACUCCGGGAAACCGGGGCUAAUACCGGAUAACAUUUUGAACCGCAUGGUUCGAAAUUGAAAGGCGGCUUCGGCUGUCACUUAUGGAUGGACCCGCGUCGCAUUAGCUAGUUGGUGAGGUAACGGCUCACAAAGGCAACGAUGCGUAGCCGACCUGGGAGGGUGAUCGGCAACACUGGGACUGAGACACGGCCCAGACUCCUACGGGAGGCAGCAGUAGGGAAUCUUCCGCAAUGGACGAAAGUCUGACGGAGCAACGCCGCGUGAGUGAUGAAGGCUUUCGGGUCGUAAAACUCUGUUGUUAGGGAAGAACAAGUGCUAGUUGAAUAAGCUGGCACCUUGACGGUACCUAACCAGAAAGCCACGGCUAACUACGUGCCAGCAGCCGCCGUAA
rnacentral:rRNA from 1 species